GACGAACGCUGGCGGCGUGCUUAACACAUGCAAGUCGAACGGAAAGGCCCUGCUUUUGUGGGGUGCUCGAGUGGCGGACGGGUGAGUAACACGUGAGUAACCUGCCCUUGACUUUGGGAUAACUUCAGGAAACUGGGGCUAAUACCGGAUAGGAGCUCCUGCUGCAUGGUGGGGGUUGGAAAGUUUCGGCGGUUGGGGAUGGACUCGCGGCUUAUCAGCUUGUUGGUGGGGUAGUGGCUUACCAAGGCUUUGACGGGUAGCCGGCCUGAGAGGGUGACCGGCAACAUUGGGACUGAGAUACGGCCCAGACUCCUACGGGAGGCAGCAGUGGGGAAUAUUGCACAAUGGGCGGAAGCCUGAUGCAGCAACGCCGCGUGCGGGAUGACGGCCUUCGGGUUGUAAACCGCUUUCGCCUGUGACGAAGCGUGAGUGACGGUAAUGGGUAAAGAAGCACCGGCUAACUACGUG
rnacentral:rRNA from 1 species